rfam:Fistulina hepatica ATCC 64428 unplaced genomic scaffold FISHEscaffold_446, whole genome shotgun sequence.
CCGACCAUAGCUCAGUUGGCAGAGCAUCAGACUGUAAUGGGUUAUAAUCUGGGUGUCGCCUGUUCGAACCAGGCUGGUCGGA